rnacentral:rRNA from 1 species
UACGAAGGGGGCAAGCGUUGUCCGGAAUCAUUGGGCGUAAAGAGCGUGUAGGCGGCUUGUUAAGUCUUGCGUGAAAUCUCGGGGCUCAACCCCGAGCGGUCGUGAGAAACUGGCAGGCUAGAGUGCGGGAGAGGAGAGUGGAAUUCCUGGUGUAGCGGUGAAAUUCGUAGAUAUUCGCAAGAACACCAGUGGCGAAGGCGGCUCACUGGCCCGAUACUGACGCUGAGGCACGAAAGCGUGGGGAGCAAACAGG